AGCGAACGCUGGCGGCAGGCUUAACACAUGCAAGUCGAACGCAUCACUUCGGUGGUGGGUGGCAGACGGGUGAGUAACACGUGGGAACGUACCCUUCGAUCUGGGAUAACUUCGGGAAACUGGAGCUAAUACCGGAUACGCCCUUUUGGGGAAAGGUUUACUGUCGAAGGAUCGGCCCGCGUCUGAUUAGCUAGUUGGUGGGGUAACGGCCUACCAAGGCGACGAUCAGUAGCUGGUCUGAGAGGAUGAUCAGCCACACUGGGACUGAGACACGGCCCAGACUCCUACGGGAGGCAGCAGUGGGGAAUAUUGGACAAUGGGCGCAAGCCUGAUCCAGCCAUGCCGCGUGAGUGAUGAAGGCCUUAGGGUUGUAAAGCCCUUUUGUCCGGGACGAUAAUGACGGUACCGGAAGAAUAAGCCCCGGCUAACUUCGUG
rnacentral:rRNA from 1 species